UACGAAGGGGGCUAGCGUUGCUCGGAAUCACUGGGCGUAAAGCGCACGUAGGCGGCUCGUUAAGUCGGGGGUGAAAUCCUGGAGCUCAACUCCAGAACUGCCCUCGAUACUGACGAGCUCGAGUCCGGGAGAGGUGAGUGGAACUGCGAGUGUAGAGGUGGAAUUCGUAGAUAUUCGCAAGAACACCAGUGGCGAAGGCGGCUCACUGGCCCGGUACUGACGCUGAGGUGCGAAAGCGUGGGGAGCAAACAGG
rnacentral:rRNA from 1 species